CUUUGUCCGCGGGUCAGUCCGGCCCCUGGGUCCACGUGGCGCGAAAAUAGGAGGGUCACUUCCUUGUGCACCGUCCUCAUCCUUCAGAAGGCCGGGAGGCCCCAGGGCUCAGCCAAGUUCUAGGAGAGAACUUUGGCUCCAGCAUUAACAUUCUAGUGCUGUGUCAUUUCCCCAGUAGCAGGUUGUGAACUGAUCAGGCUGGAUGUGAUCCUCUGUUGAAGCACGAAGACGAACUCUGGAUGGUGGAGAAAGAAGUGGAAAGGAAGUUUGUUCAGAAGAAGCUUGAGAAGAUGAUGAACAGAUAGAUUGGCAACAAGACUUGGGAGACAAGUUGCAUCCAGCUUCAAUAAAGUACAGACAGAAAAAAGC